GUGGGGGGUGCUUACACAUGCAAGUCGAACGAUGAACCGCUUUCGGGCGGGGAUUAGUGGCGAACGGGUGAGUAACACGUGGGCAAUCUGCCCUGCACUCUGGGACAAGCCCUGGAAACGGGGUCUAAUACCGGAUAUGACUGUCCAUCGCAUGGUGGAUGGUGUAAAGCUCCGGCGGUGCAGGAUGAGCCCGCGGCCUAUCAGCUUGUUGGUGAGGUAGUGGCUCACCAAGGCGACGACGGGUAGCCGGCCUGAGAGGGCGACCGGCCACACUGGGACUGAGACACGGCCCAGACUCCUACGGGAGGCAGCAGUGGGGAAUAUUGCACAAUGGGCGAAAGCCUGAUGCAGCGACGCCGCGUGAGGGAUGACGGCCUUCGGGUUGUAAACCUCUUUCAGCAGGGAAGAAGCGAAAGUGACGGUACCUGCAGAAGAAGCGCCGGCUAACUACGUGCCAGCAGCCGCGGUAAUACGUAGGGCGCAAGCGUUGUCCGGAAUUAUUGGGCGUAAAGAGCUCGUAGGCGGCUUGUCACGUCGGUUGUGAAAGCCCGGGGCUUAACCCCGGGUCUGCAGUCGAUACGGGCAGGCUAGAGUUCGGUAGGGGAGAUCGGAAUUCCUGGUGUAGCGGUGAAAUGCGCAGAUAUCAGGAGGAACACCGGUGGCGAAGGCGGAUCUCUGGGCCGAUACUGACGCUGAGGAG
rnacentral:rRNA from 1 species